AGUGAACGCUGGCGGUAGGCCUAACACAUGCAAGUCGAACGGCAGCACAGUAAGAGCUUGCUCUUACGGGUGGCGAGUGGCGGACGGGUGAGGAAUACAUCGGAAUCUACUUUUUCGUGGGGGAUAACGUAGGGAAGCUUACGCUAAUACCGCAUACGACCUACGGGUGAAAGCAGGGGAUCUUCGGACCUUGCGCGAUUGAAUGAGCCGAUGUCGGAUUAGCUAGUUGGCGGGGUAAAGGCCCACCAAGGCGACGAUCCGUAGCUGGUCUGAGAGGAUGAUCAGCCACACUGGAACUGAGACACGGUCCAGACUCCUACGGGAGGCAGCAGUGGGGAAUAUUGGACAAUGGGCGCAAGCCUGAUCCAGCAAUACCGCGUGAGUGAAGAAGGCCUUCGGGUUGUAAAGCCCUGUUGUUGGGAAAGAAAAACAGCAGGUUAAUACCCGGCUGUUCUGACGGUACCCAAAGAAUAAGCACCGGCUAACUUCGUG
rnacentral:rRNA from 1 species